GCUCAGUUGUAUGUGUAGUGGUUUGAUAAUUGGACUAUGACUCCGGAGACCAGGGUUCAAAUCCCCACUGAGCU